CCCCUGUGGGCUGGUGUAACCAGGAGGUUCCUACCAGUGAUAUUGCACAGUGUCAUUAGCCCACGAGAUCCCCCUGUCCAUCACUAGAGGGCCUUGCUGGGACCGUAGUUUGUUCGCGGCCUGCAUGGCAAUGAAGCACCGGCCUUGCCUAGAUGUCUCUGCCGGGAACGAGCGCCUCUUCCUGGGCCACUGAGUCCAUCGUACACAAUGCAAGCGAAAGAAGCUGCUGCUGCGGGGAGUGCAACAGCCACUGCCCAAGGUGGCAAACCAGAUGAAAGGCUUCAUGAGACACGGCUGUACAUGGACGUGGCAGACAGCCUUAUGCCGAUCGUUUACACAUCCGACUACAACAUCACCUUCAUGGGGCUGGAGAAGAUGCAUCCGUUUGAUGCAGGAAAGUGGGGCAAGGUCGUGCAGUAUUUGAAAGAGGCAAACAUGGUCACGGAUGAUGUGCUGGUGAAACCGCGGGAGGCGGAGGAGAAGGAUCUACUCGUGGCUCACACCCAGCGCUACCUCAACAGCCUCAAGUGGUCCAUCACGGUGGCCAGGAUAACGGAGGUCCCUUGCGUCGCGGCGCUGCCCAACGUGCUGGUGCGGCGCAACGUACUGAGGCCCUUCCUGCUGCAGACGGGCGGCACUGUCCUGGCAGGAAAGCUGGCGAUGGAGAGAGGCUGGGCUUUCAACAUCGGUGGCGGUUUUCACCACUGCUCCGGGGAUAAUGGUGGAGGCUUUUGUGCCUACGCCGACAUUACCUUGUGCAUCAAGUUCCUCUUUGACCGUGUGGACGGCGUUGCCAGAGCCAUGAUUGUUGAUCUGGAUGCCCAUCAGGGCAACGGACACGAGCGGGACUUCAUGGGCGACAGCCGCGUGUACAUCAUGGACGUGUACAACCAGCACAUCUACCCGCACGACUCCGCCGCCAAACCGAUCGCGAGCUCGGUUCGAGUGGCAGACGGCUGUCACUCUGUGGACACGUUGCCACGUCGCCAACUCCAGCAAAUUGCGCACUUCGGUUGGCGGUCGACGUUUCCAAGUGAAGACUGCGAUCCUCAAAGGAAUGGCGCCGUCCACCGUGAUCGCCUCCCCCCCCUCCCCCCCUCGUGAUCCGUCUGUGGAUCAAACAAAUCACUCGAGACACCAGGUGUUUGGCAGCAAGAGCAGUUGAUGCGAAUUAGCGUAGUGGUCCUUCGCCGACAAUGCGUGAUGAAUGUUGUGUUGGUGUGGAGGAGGUGGCCGGGUGAUUGUGAUCUGUUACUGAUCCGGGGUUCAAAUGCAAUGUAGUUCCCCAUGAAUGAACCGGGUUUUCAACCUGAUCACCAGUGAUUUAUGCAACAACAACAACUAAAACAAUAGCAUCAUAUUCAAUUCCCUUUUACGCGUAAUUUUGUCAAAUACAAAACAGUGUUGACUGGCAGUUAUUAAAUACUAGCUUUACUACCCGGCUUCGUCCGAGACUUGGAUUCUUGUCUUGGAUUAAUAUGCGUCCUACGCUACGCGGAGGGUGGGGGAGAGGAUGCGUGACGUCAGCAGGUACACUGCGCGACGCUGCCGCAUGUGGGUGACAUCACAGAUGUGACGUCACCGCUCACUUGGCGUGCAAAAUAUAUCCAUUAUUGCGCCUUACCCCCCCCCCCCCCCCCCAAAAUACAAAAGUCUAUUUUUAUACUUUUUGCAUUGUGUACAGUCUGGAAGCUACCCACAUGCCAAAUUUCAAGCGUGUUGCAUGUUGGGAAGUAUGCUAAACAUUUCGAACAGACACACAUAUUCACAAAUUUCCCUUUUAUAUAUAUAUUAGACUGGAUUAGAGAGACCUUUUGAUAUCUCAGGAGCAGGCCUGUGAUGCUUCUUCACUGCAAGAUGUUCUCAAACAUGUUCUCGGAGAGAUCUGAAUGGGCACUUUGUCCCAUGACGCUGAUAGCACAAUUGGAGUGUAGUUUGAGAAGAAGCAAACGAGGUUCACUGUGGAUGUUGUGCCAAGGUAGAUGCUAGGCAAUAGCUUAUGGAGUCUAUCUUGUCUUUUGAGCACGUUGUUUACAGAGGGGAUUCUGAAAGGCUUUUCUCUCUAAACUACAUUUAGAAAUCACUGCGAGGAUAUCGGUUUUAUUUUUUCAAAAUAAAAAAACAAGAAUUUCUUUGAACAAAUUUUUUUUGGCUUUCUUCUUCACAGAGUGCUGAUUCUAGUGGAGCGUUUAUGCUUAAGUGAAAGAUAAUGAGAUUAGGUGUCUUAUCAAGCUUAGCUUAAACAAAAGACGACCAUUAAUUACAUUUGUGUUUGAACAUGAGGACAAGCAUAUUUACAGCAUUUCCUGUUCUCAAUAUGUUCAUCAUGCUUUUAUUAGUCACAAAUAAAGAUUCAUUAAUAAGUUAUCAUACUUUUCGACUUUGCAACGCGCCGCGCAGUAUUUGCUCACUCUCAGAGCGAGGGAACGAUUUGAAGGCGCGAGGAGAACUCACAGACAAGCGGGAAAGCAGCCGAGCAAUGAGGCGGCGCCAAAAAUUGCCCAAGCUCUGUGGCCCUCUACAUAUAUAUGAAGGUGUUAUUGGCCAACUAACGAGUAAUUACAUGUGUGAGGAAACAAGAGCACCCGGAGAAAAUCCACAAGUGCGAGGAGGGAACGCUCGAUUCCAUACAGAUGGAACAGGUGGAGUCCACAUUUUUGCUGUGCUGCCUUCUCCUGGCGAGUGCAGGGUAUGGCACCUCAUCGACGCCCGCGGGAAGGGAGUUCUACUACGAGGCGUGUGCCAACACCGCCCGGAUAAAUGAACAUCGUCUAUUUGUUGAAACUUGUGUGGGUCGAUUGCAUCCGUGCAGUCCGUACAACGUAGACCAGCGUGGCAUUUUCAUUUCUCGCGAUGCGCCACUUUUUCAGCAGUUAGUCCUCCGUGAUAAAACAAGGGAUCCAUCUCUCCGAUUAAUCCGAGCGGCCUGGAAACUGUAAUCCAUGCUCUCUGUGCUGCAGCUCAAAAGAAGAUUAAAGUGGCGACAAAUCUGUUGCCUGACACAAGGCGGCACAUUAACGCAAAACCUCGCACAGACCCAGAGCGAUUGCAGCCUCCGCCCACUGCACGCUGCGUCACCAAGUUGGGCUCAAGACUGCCGACUUACCUCGUGAGAAACAGCUUGGUGCCGGUUUGAUUAGUUACGUGGUGCCGCACACGGUGCAGGUACAAAGAGGCCAUUUGCCCCCCCUCCCCUCUGAUGCACGACGCGCGAGGCCAUCGGCCCAUCUAUCGGCCCAUCGCAGCCUUUCACUGCGGAGGCUCAAAGAGGAUUAUCGGCGCGGCUUGGCAGGUCCCCCGGAUUGCGUCGUCCGUCGGUUACAAUGCAACGCGGGGAUGACUGGGCACUGACCGCCACUUACGCCAUCGUACUGCUGCUGCUGACGCUCUUCGUCGCAUUCGUUUGCCUCUUCGUCCUGGUGUUCACGCUGAAUCUUGUCAGCCUGGGCAUGCGAGGGGGAGGCUCAGGUUGAGGUGUCUGGGUUUGCUUAAGCAAGACAACCUUGCCUUGAGCACAUCUGAUUUAUAGAAGCGGUGAGAGGUCAGCUGAUGACAGCAACUGUCCAGGCGGCAUCCGCUGUUGCGUGGAGCUCGACUGCGGCACGCAGGACGCCGAGUACCUGCAGAAGGUGCGCACGGCGCUGGAGCGCUCGCUCCGAGAGUUCACGCCCGACGUCAUCGUCUACAACGCCGGCACCGACGUGCUGGAGGGGGACCGCCUGGGCGCUCUGUCCAU